CCUGCGGGAAUUGUAAUUUGAAGGUUUCGUGGUCUGAGUCGGCCGCGCCCAAGUCCAUUGGAACAUGGCGCCUGGGAGGGUGAGAGCCCCGUCCGGCGCACGCCGACUCUUUGCACCGCGGCUCCGACGAGUCGAGUUGUUUGGGAAUGCAGCUCUAAGUGGGUGGUAAAUUCCAUCUAAAGCUAAAUAUUGGCGAGAGACCGAUAGCGAACAAGUACAGUGAUGGAAAGAUGAAAAGCACUUUGAAAAGAGAGUGAAACAGCACGUGAAAUUGUUGAAAGGGAAGGGCUUGCAAGCAGACACGGUUUACCGGGCCAGCGUCGAAAAGGGGGGAGGAACAAGAACUCGAGAAUGUGGCGCGC
rnacentral:rRNA from 1 species